UACGUAGGGUGCGAGCGUUAAUCGGAAUUACUGGGCGUAAAGCGUGCGCAGGCGGUUUUGUAAGCCAGGUGUGAAAUCCCCGGGCUCAACCUGGGACCUGCAUUUGUGACUGCAUCGCUAGAGUACGGUAGAGGGGGAUGGAAUUCCGCGUGUAGCAGUGAAAUGCGUAGAUAUGCGGAGGAACACCGAUGGCGAAGGCAAUCCCCUGGACCUGUACUGACGCUCAUGCACGAAAGCGUGGGGAGCGAACAGG
rnacentral:rRNA from 1 species